GAUGAACGCUGGCGGCGUGCCUAAUACAUGCAAGUCGAGCGAACAGACGAGGAGCUUGCUCCUCUGACGUUAGCGGCGGACGGGUGAGUAACACGUGGAUAACCUACCUAUAAGGCUGGGAUAACUUCGGGAAACCGGAGCUAAUACCGGAUAAUAUAUUGAACCGCAUGGUUCAAUAGUGAAAGACGGUUUUGCUGUCACUUAUAGAUGGAUCCGCGCCGCAUUAGCUAGUUGGUACGGUAACGGCUUACCAAGGCGACGAUGCGUAGCCGACCUGAGAGGGUGAUCGGCCACACUGGAACUGAGACACGGUCCAGACUCCUACGGGAGGCAGCAGUAGGGAAUCUUCCGCAAUGGGCGAAAGCCUGACGGAGCAACGCCGCGUGAGUGAUGAAGGUCUUCGGAUCGUAAAACUCUGUUAUUAGGGAAGAACAAAUGUGUAAGUAACUAUGCACGUCUUGACGGUACCUAAUCAGAAAGCCACGGCUAACUACGUG
rnacentral:rRNA from 1 species